GCACUCCACUCAUCCCCUCAAUCCCACCAAGUUGCUGCCAGAGGCCCUGCCUCAUGCGCCCGCGCAAGGAGACGAGCCCUCUCCUGCAGCUCGAGCUCCUUCGUCCACGUCUGUGUCGCCUCCGACCUCCUCGCAACCCCGCUGCCCCAGCGAACCUCGCCGCCGGCAACCACCACCAGCAGAUAAGCCCUGCGCCGCCCUUUCCUUUCCUGCUUCUCUCUUCUCCCUCUCACUUCUCUCGAUGGUUUUCUUUUUUCGUCAGAGAACCAUCAGCCGAAGCCGUCCCUGUCGCCCGAGCUCCUCCCUGCACAGCGCGCGCCCGCACGACCCCGUCGCUGGCGACCCGUCUCCAGCCGCCGCGGAGCCGCUCAGCGCCCACGCCUCACCAUCUUGCUGCUGCCCGCACCAUCGGAGGUCCGUCGGACCCGCGACCAGGUCACUGCCGAGCCUCCUCGUGACCAAGAACGAAAUCCCAUGACCGCCCGCGCCAUCUGUCGUUCUUCUCCGGCAGCUGCGCCGGCGAGCGCCCCGCCGGACCCGCUCUCUUCCUCGUCUCUUCGCUACCGAACCGCAGACAACAGCAGCUUCCAUGGUUGUGUAGCUCUCCGCCGGCCUCCACAAGCCGAGCGUCACCGGAUCUGGAGGAUCCGGGCCUCCCGCGCUUUCCCGUGUCCGUCCCCUGCCUCUCCGCUUUGCCGGAGUCCCUCGCGAGCCAGCGUCGUGAGCUCCAGCGCCGCGGCUCCUCUGUGUUUUAUCGAACAGAGGCGACGCCCGUAGCCUCCCCGCCUCGCGCAUCUGGACCAGCCAGCGCCAAGUCGGCCCACUCAGCGCUCCGCUAGAUGCGCCUGUCUCUACCACCACCUCAGUAGAUGGGCCGAGGCCCAUGGUGAGGCCACCCCAGCGUUCUUUUUCUUUUUUUCCUCUGUUGGGCUUCCUGUCCAGUUUCGGCCCGCUUAUGUUUUUUCAGCGUCUGCGAAUUUAGCUAAU